rnacentral:sRNA from 1 species
CGCCGACAUACAGUCAUGACAUGUGACAUGUAUCACUUACUUGUCAAACUUUGGCCCUUGGUUAUUAUACGGUUC